rnacentral:rRNA from 1 species
GACGAACGCUGGCGGCGUGCUUAACACAUGCAAGUCGAACGGUGAACCUCUUCGGAGGGGAUCAGUGGCGAACGGGUGAGUAACACGUGGGCAACCUGCCCCCGGCUCUGGGAUAACUCCAAGAAAUUGGGGCUAAUACCGGAUGUUCACCGCUUCCCGCAUGGGUGGUGGUGGAAAGGGUUUCCGGCUGGGGAUGGGCCCGCGGCCUAUCAGCUUGUUGGUGGGGUAGUGGCCUACCAAGGCGACGACGGGUAGCCGGCCUGAGAGGGUGACCGGCCACACUGGGACUGAGACACGGCCCAGACUCCUACGGGAGGCAGCAGUGGGGAAUAUUGCGCAAUGGGCGGAAGCCUGACGCAGCGACGCCGCGUGGGGGAUGACGGCCUUCGGGUUGUAAACCUCUUUCAGCAGGGACGAAGCGCAAGUGACGGUACCUGCAGAAGAAGCACUGGCCAACUACGUG